AUUGAACGCUGGCGGCAGGCUUAACACAUGCAAGUCAAGCGGAUGAAAGUAGCUUGCUACUGGAUUCAGCGGCGGACGGGUGAGUAAUGCUUAGGAAUCUGCCUAUUAGUGGGGGACAACGUUCCGAAAGGAGCGCUAAUACCGCAUACGUCCUACGGGAGAAAGCAGGGGACCUUCGGGCCUUGCGCUAAUAGAUGAGCCUAAGUACGGAUUAGCUGGUUGGUAGGGUAAAGGCCUACCAAGGCGACGAUCUGCAGCGGGUCCGAGAGGAUGAUACGCCACACUGGGAGUGAGACACGGCCAAGACUCCUACGGGAGGCAGCAGUGGGGAAUAUUGGACAAUGGGGGGGACCCUGAUCCAGCCAUGCCGCGUGUGAAGAAGGCCUUUUGGUUGUAAAGCACUUUAAGCGAGGAGGGGGCUACCUAGAUUAAUACUGUAGGAUAGUGGACGUUACUCGCAGAAUAAGCACCGGCUAACUCUGUGCCAGCCGCCGCCGUAA
rnacentral:rRNA from 1 species